rnacentral:rRNA from 1 species
CCUACGGGUGGCAGCAGUGGGGGAUAUUGCACAAUGGGGGAAACCCUGAUGCAGCGACGCCGCGUGUGGGACGACGGUCCUCUGGAUUGUAAACCACUGUCCCCAGGGACGAAGAUGACGGUACCUGGCGAGGCCGCUCCGGCUAACUACGUGCCAGCAGCCGAGGUAAUACGUAGGGAGCGAGUGUUGUCCGGAAUUACUGGGUGAACAGGGAGCGUAGGCGGGGAUGCAAGGUGGGGGUAAAAACUACAGGCUCAACUGGGAGGCGCACUCAAAACUGCAGCUCUUGAGUGAAGUAGAGGCAGGCGGAAUUCCUAGUGUAGCGGUGAAAUGCGUAGAUAUUAGGAGGAACACCGAUGGCGAAGGCAGCCUGCUGGGCUGUGACUGACGCUGAGGCUCGAAAGUGUGGGGAGCAAACAGGAUUAGAUACCCUAGUAGUC